GGUAUUACUUUAGCUUUGGCUGAGCUACAAGAAUGAAAGAGCACUCAGAUGGAAGUUCAUUAGGUACAAUGACAGUUCUCAGGAAAGGCAAGGGGGCUGCUGUGCCCUCAUAAUAUCAAGACUGGACCCCCCUCAGCUGUGGCGAAUAUUUUCAGACUUUUUUUUUUUACGUCACAUUUAUCCCCAAACAGGGAAAUUUUUCAUGGGGUGUGAAAUAAAAUGCAUGUUUACAGUGUUGGUGGUGCUUGUUAUGGUCGGCUCAGAUGUAAGUGGUGUGUGGCUGCAGAUCACUCAUCAGGAUGUGGAAAUCAACUCACCAGCCUGUAAAUUCUCCCUCUGCCGACUUAUAGCUAGCUGCUAGCUAGCCAGGUUGAGGUUUUCAAAUGUAAACAUCGCAGACAAGAUGGAGAAGAUGGCAGCAGCUGAACUUACAUCCUGCUAGCUAUGGAACAGGCCUCGGAUAAUAAACCGGACGACCUCUGUGCUGCAUCAGUUUCCAACAGGGUAUCAGGAGCUGUAAUAUCCUUUGAUUCACCAAACCUUGGCUAACUCUUGGACAGCACCAUUCAACCAGGAGGCCCUUUUUUAUUUGCCAAUUCUGACAGAGGAGAGGACUCUGGCAAGGAGAGGAGACGUGUGCUCUGCAGUGAAUAAGGACUGGUGUGAUGGUGGGAGUGUGAGGUGCUGUCCUGUUCCUGCUGUGAAUCACUGCUAUACGGCGUUCAAAGGCAGCUGCAGAGCAGAGUCGCUGCCUGUGUGCGAGGGGAGAAACCAUGCAGCCGUCUUGUUGGGGUUGGGAUGUGUGGACAGUUAAAUCAUUUCACAACCAGAAACCAUGGAUUACCCGAAUCAUCCGGAAACAUGGAACAUUAUAAGGCAGCAGCCAAAAAUGUAAGAAGACACACACAAAAAAAGAAUAAAUUACGGUGCACAAAUUAAAGGAUCUGAUGGGAUCACAUUUCACUAGAGUUCCUUGUAUAAUUCCAUGUCAUGACAUAAGAACUAUUUACUAAUUGAUUGAUUUAACUUUAGAGGCUGUAGUUAGUAAUGCUGUUAAAAUUGUGCAGUGUGCAUUGUAUUGUGUUUUUCAUGUUUUCUACCCCAUUUAAGUCAAUAAGGAAAAGCAGUAAUUAUAAUAUGUAUUGGUGGGACACCCCCAAAUAUUAAAAUAUGCUAAAUACGAUAAGAAAAA